GGGUUGUAAACCACUGUCAGGGGGAAGGAAUAAGCGUGUAACCCACGCGAUGACUUAUACCCCAGAGGAAGUGACGGCUAACUACGUGCCAGCAGCUGCGGUAAUACGUAGGUCACGAACGUUAUUCGGAAUCACUGGGCUUAAAGGGCGCGUAGGCGGCUUCGUAAGUCAAGGUUGAAAUCCGGCGGCUCACCCGUCGAACUGGCCUUGAUACUGCGGAGCUUGAGGUGCGGAGGGAUGCGUGGAACUUGUGGUGGAGCGGUGAAAUGCCCAGAUAUCACAGGGAACACCGGUGGCGAAGGCGACGCAUUGGCCGCAAUCUGACGCUGAGGCGCGAAAGCAUGGGGAGCGAACGGGAUUAGAUACCCCGGUAGUCCAUGCCGUAAACGAUGUGCACUAGGGAGAGGAUGGGUCCUAACUCAUUCCCUCCCCAAGCAAAAGCGUUAAGUGCACCGCCUGGGGAGUAUGCUCGCAAGGGUAAAACUC
rnacentral:rRNA from 1 species